rfam:Homo sapiens chromosome 12 genomic contig, GRCh38 reference assembly alternate locus group ALT_REF_LOCI_1.
GUCGGGUAUGGUGGUGCACGCUUGUAUUCCCAGCUACUCGGUAGCUGAGGCAGGAGGAUCGCUUGAGCCUAGGAAUUCAAGGCUGUAGUGCACCAUGAUCACACCUGUGAAUAGUCGCUGCAGUCUAGCCUAGACAAUAUAGUAAGACUCUGUCUCUA